UACAGGGGGUGCAAACGUUGCUCGGAAUCAUUGGGCGUAAAGCGCACGCAGGCGGUCUGUUAUGUCGGAUGUGAAAGCCCUUGGCUCAACUGAGGAAGUGCAUCCGAAACUGGCAGGCUAGAGUACUAAAGAGGAUCGCGGAAUUCCCGGUGUAGAGGUGAAAUUCGUAGAUAUCGGGAGGAACACCGGUGGCGAAGGCGGCGAUCUGGGUAGAUACUGACGCUGAGGUGCGAAAGCGUGGGGAGCAAACAGGG
rnacentral:rRNA from 1 species